CCUGGUGGGUAUAGUUGAAAGGUCACACCCGUUCUCAUUCCGAAUACGGAAGUUAAGCUUUCAACGCCGAAAAUACUUUACUGGAGACGGUACGGAAAGAUAGGUACUGCCAGGU
rnacentral:rRNA from 1 species